rnacentral:rRNA from 1 species
GACGAACGCUGGCGGCGUGCUUAACACAUGCAAGUCGAGCGGUAAGGCCCUUUCGGGGGUACACGAGCGGCGAACGGGUGAGUAACACGUGGGUGGACCUGCCCUCAGCUCUGGGAUAAGCCUGGGAAACCGGGUCUAAUACCGGAUAUGACUCCAUGACGCAUGUUGUGGGGUGGAAAGCCUUGUGCGGCUGAGGAUGGGCCCGCGGCCUAUCAGCUUGUUGGUGGGGUGAUGGCCUACCAAGGCGACGACGGGUAGCCGGCCUGAGAGGGCGACCGGCCACACUGGGACUGAGACACGGCCCAGACUCCUACGGGAGGCAGCAGUGGGGAAUCUUGCGCAAUGGGCGAAAGCCUGACGCAGCGACGCCGCGUGAGGGAUGACGGCCU